UCGGUCUUUUUUAUUCGUUCCUUGCUUCCUCUGGACGACCGAGCCAAACGUGGAAGCUAAUAAUCCGUAAGGAGCAACCAAUG
rfam:Vibrio shilonii AK1 1103207001955, whole genome shotgun sequence.